AGGAAGACGACGAACAAACGGCUUGAACUCAUCAGAAUCUUUACUAGACUCAGAAGAAGCCGAAGCAGGAUCCAAGGCUUCGAGCUCUGGAUCGACUUUGGGAGAGAGGAAACCGAUCAAGAGGUUUAAGAUGUAAGUCGCGAGACCAUACGAGACGACGAAGAAUCCGUAAGCGUAGUAAACUCUGUAGAUGUAGAUCACGGCGGCGAUUAACGUUACUAGCCAUCUUCGAACGAGGUGUGGAGCCGAUCUGUCGAGGUGAUUCUGAAACGAUUUCGAGAAUUCGAUUCUCCAUCGUGCAAGCGGUGAAUCGCUCAUUGUGUAUCCGUCUCCUUCGUUUCCUGAUUCGUCCUCCAUGGUCACAAUGAUCUUCGAAUCAAACACGAGAGAGAGAGAGAGAGAGAGAGAGAGAGAGAGAGAGAGAGAGAGAGACUCACACAACCCGAACCAAAAAAAUUACAGAUACAUACAACAACCUUAUUUUCCAGUACAAGAAGCCUCCAACACAAUUCACAAACCAACUUAAUAACACCUUACAAAAAAGGUUGAACCCAACGCUUUUAACAGAUCUAGGGUAAUACAUCCAAUCACUAUAGGAACUUUACAUUCCAAUUUUCAUAAGGUCCAACCAGACGUACUCGCUUCAAAGCCCACCAUUUAAAAAAAAAAAUACCAUACACAUCUCUUACAAAUGCAAACCCAAAAUACAAAUCAUAAAAUCAUACAAAAAAUAAUUAUGUAGAUCACAAGUAAAGUAAAUCCCGCCCGUAGGGCGGGCCGACUCUAGUUAUAAAUAUAAACUAGUUUUAUGUUUAUAUGGAUGGUUUAUAGAUUUUUGAUAGUUUUAAUGGUUUUUAUAUGUUUAAUAACACUAAGAUCUAAUCCAGUAACGUGACCGGUUAAUGGUCGAACCAUUUAUUAGAUCCAACCCGACUAUAUAACUAAUUCAUGGUCGAAUCCGGUUCAACCAUCGGAUCGGUCUGGUUUUAAAAAUACUGCUAAACACCCGUAUAUAUGCCUAGAUGUUUAGAUGAAAGAUAUAUGACCAAUAGUUAUCCAAACACAUGUGUUUAUGCCUAGGUGUUUGGAUCAAAGAUAUAUGACUAGUUCGGAUUUCUCGAAGUUUUUGGAUUAAUUUGGUUUAAAUCCUCUCAGGUUCAUCUAAACGGUUUCCACUACUUGUUUAGAUUUUUGAGUUUUUAAUCAGUUAUUUUUACUCAAAAGUAAAACUAUACACAAUUAUCUAAUAACUUAAAAGUUAAAAGUAGAAUUUAAUAUACAAUAAAUGACUAAAAAUAAAAAAUAAAAGUUCAAAAUAAAAAUGAAACUGAUUACUUAUUUAUUCAGAAAUGGUAUAACAGUGAGACAAAUACAGAUAAACCAGAUUACAAAAAGUCUGCUAUGUUCCAAAAUCACAGAGCUUGAAGCUGCUGCUUUGUUUGCUUGAAGCAAUCUUGUAAGAAGUUGUGAAGCUGUGAGGAGUACAAGUCAGGAAAGUUCCGGUAGUGUUCGACAUGAGGAGACGACCUGAAGCUGAAAGAAUGUAUCUUUCUUCCAAUCUUUUGUUGCUCUUUGAUCCGUAGCUCUACGGAAUGAGACGGAACAACUUUAUCCCCAGAGCUGUAAAGAUAAAGCUGAGGGCAUGGAGGAUGGUUCUCAUAGAGUUUCUCGAUGAUUUUCGUGAGCCUCCUGCGACACAAUAAUUCAAAUUUCAGAUUAAUCACAACCAGUUGACAAAUAAUGGGUGUAUAAAUAGUGUGAAGCAUACAUGUUGACGUCUGGGAUGUUUAAGAUGAUGGGGAAGAGUUUCUCUAGAGAUGAUAGCAUCAUGUUUUCGAUUCCUAGAGGUUCCUUCUUUUGUGCGUUUUGAAGCCUAAUCUUCUUGGCUUCUUGGACUGGUUGGUUCUGUGUUUAUGGUGGAGCUACGUUUCUUCAGUAUAGCUGCAGUAAAACCAGCUGCCAAAAUCUGCAAGUAGAACCGAAUCUAUAGUUCAUCUUCUUUAUAAUAAAAUAUACUCAUCGCUAUUUAUAUGCCAGUCGAAAUGAUGAUUAAGAUGUGUACAAAGACUAAAACCAUGAUUAAGUAGACAAAACAAAUGUCAACAUAAGGAAACUAAGAUCAUGAUCUGAGAUUUACUUAUUCAGCUAUUUUUUUUAUCUUGUAAUCGUGUUCAUCUUUGUAAACGUUGGGUUUGAUAUCAAUACGAGAGGUUACAGAGAGUUUAUUGAGAGAUCUGAGUUGUGAACUUAUCAGAAACUAGUGAGGUUGAAGAGAUUCAAUACCAAAGAAGUGCAAACAUUUGGAGAAUUACUAUGUCGUUCAGCAUCCUUAAUUAAGAACCUGAUGUUCUCUCCUACAUACAUGAAUCUGGUGCUUUUUUUUUUCUUUUUUUUUUUCUGAUCAUUUUGUUGUCAAGGCAUAUAACUGAAUCCAAGAUUCCCGAGUUGAUGAAGAAAGAUGUGGUUUUAAACACUGAACCUGCUUUGAUUCAAAUGGAGGGACAGACAAAGCUGAAAUGAGAACCGUAGAAACUGAAUUAAUUUGCACUCCACUAUAAUACUGAACCAACCAUGACUUUAAAUCUAUACAUAUAUGAAUGAAGUAAGAGACAACACAAUCCAAAUCCUGGUUCUGUGUAGAGUUGAAGCAUUGAGUGUAGCGAAGAAGAGACGCAUAUACCUUAAUUUAAAAGGUUAAGUAAACCAUCAAUGGCACUCAAGAGAGAAUCUGUUCAAAAAAAUCAUGAAAAGUUUUCGAAAAAAGAGCAAAAAAAAUUUGGACCAUUUCUCGAUUUGUGCGUGUCAUCCUUGCGCAGGGGCCAUGCUAAUCUUCUCUGUAUCGUUCCAAUUUUAUCGGAUGUCCCCGAAGGGACAAUCAUGUUUGUGACUCCAGAGAUAUAAAAACAGUUCGUUAGCUUCCAUUCUUACCGAUGUGGGAGGAAGAAAGAAACAGAAUUAUUCAUGUGGGCCAUCUGAUAGGCCAAUUCUUUGUGUGUUAUUAGUGGGUUCAAGUGGACAUUUAAACAUACCCAUAUCUCUCUUUUUUGUACAGCUGUGCUAUUUGAGGAGUCCGCUAUUUGAUCACUUCUUUCAAAAGAAUCAGAGAAAGGACAGAAUAUAAGAAGAAGAAAAAACUAAGUGGGAGAAAGAAACUAAGCGGUCGUUUGAUACUCUUUAAGCAUCUUGUAUUUCGUUCUGAUCCAUUCAAUAAAGGAGAAGUUACAUUCAGUUCCGAUCAACUAUCAUAACAUUUACAUACUGAACAAAUCCAUGAGCACUAUUAAAGACUUAGUGACAAAGUUCACAGAAUCACAGUGUACAAAGCAAGUAAACUCUAGAAUCUAUAGUGUGUUCUGAGUAAGAUGGCAUAUUAUCCGCUUCUCUCAGGCAAUUCAGAUCAGUGAUUUGGCGUCUGCAUUGCAAGAAGAUAUUGGAAGCUGUCAAACAUAACAUAACUCAAACAUAAGAUAGCUUUCUCAGUUCUGUUAAGUAUCAAGAACAUUGUUUUUCCUUUUACACCACAGUAUGCUAUAACAAUCUACUCAGCUUCACGUCUGAGCCGUAUUUUCAUCUCCUUGAGGUGAAUUGCUGCUACUAGGCUUAUCAUUUCCACCAUACCUCUGUCAAAAAGAAACAUCAAAAGUUCACAAAUCACAACCAAUGUUCAAGACUCAGUCCAAAUCGAAUACAAAAAAACAAGAAGAAGCCAUGAGUAGCUUUGUUACCUUCUUUCUAAAAUCGAAAGGAACGUAUCUGUACUUGACCAUGUGCACGAUUUGUCGUUUCAUAGUGAGAAAAUAAAGAAACAACCAGUAGCAAAGCAAGAUGGGCCAGAACACAGGCACAUCCAAGAACGAGAAGAAGGUCAUCACAAACGCUACAACAAAAGCCUUAGUAGCUGCAUACCUGAUACAUCACAGAAUCAAGAUCACUACUAUUCUUUAUUUUAAUUAAAAAUCUCAGAUCAAAUCGAAUUUGUGAGAAAUCUACCAGAACUUGAACUCAGGAAGACGACGAACAAACGGCUUGAACUCAUCAGAAUCUUUACUAGACUCAGAAGAAGCCGAAGCAGGAUCCAAGGCUUCGAGCUCUGGAUCGACUUUGGGAGAGAGGAAACCGAUCAAGAGGUUUAAGAUGUAAGUCGCGAGACCAUACGAGACGACGAAGAAUCCGUAAGCGUAGUAAACUCUGUAGAUGUAGAUCACGGCGGCGAUUAACGUUACUAGCCAUCUUCGAACGAGGUGUGGAGCCGAUCUGUCGAGGUGAUUCUGAAACGAUUUCGAGAAUUCGAUUCUCCAUCGUGCAAGCGGUGAAUCGCUCAUUGUGUAUCCGUCUCCUUCGUUUCCUGAUUCGUCCUCCAUGGUCACAAUGAUCUUCGAAUCAAACACGAGAG
rnacentral:lncRNA from 1 species